UGAACGCUGGCGGCGUGCCUAAUACAUGCAAGUCGAACGAGUUCUGAUUAUUGAAAGGUGCUUGCAUCUUGAUUUUAAUUUUGAACGGGUGGCGGACGGGUGAGUAACACGUGGGUAACCUGCCCUUAAGUGGGGGAUAACAUUUGGAAACAGAUGCUAAUACCGCAUAAAUCCAAGAACCGCAUGGUUCUUGGCUGAAAGAUGGCGUAAGCUAUCGCUUUUGGAUGGACCCGCGGCGUAUUAGCUAGUUGGUGAGGUAACGGCUCACCAAGGCAAUGAUACGUAGCCGAACUGAGAGGUUGAUCGGCCACAUUGGGACUGAGACACGGCCCAAACUCCUACGGGAGGCAGCAGUAGGGAAUCUUCCACAAUGGACGCAAGUCUGAUGGAGCAACGCCGCGUGAGUGAAGAAGGCUUUCGGGUCGUAAAACUCUGUUGUUGGAGAAGAAUGGUCGGCAGAGUAACUGUUGUCGGCGUGACGGUAUCCAACCAGAAAGCCACGGCUAACUACGUGCCAGCAGCCGCGGUAAUACGUAGGUGGCAAGCGUUAUCCGGAUUUAUUGGGCGUAAAGCGAGCGCAGGCGGUUUUUUAAGUCUGAUGUGAAAGCCCUCGGCUUAACCGAGGAAGUGCAUCGGAAACUGGGAAACUUGAGUGCAGAAGAGGACAGUGGAACUCCAUGUGUAGCGGUGAAAUGCGUAGAUAUAUGGAAGAACACCAGUGGCGAAGGCGGCUGUCUGGUCUGUAACUGACGCUGAGGCUCGAAAGCAUGGGUAGCGAACAGGAUUAGAUACCCUGGUAGUCCAUGCCGUAAACGAUGAAUGCUAGGUGUUGGAGGGUUUCCGCCCUUCAGUGCCGCAGCUAACGCAUUAAGCAUUCCGCCUGGGGAGUACGACCGCAAGGUUGAAACUCAAAGGAAUUGACGGGGGCCCGCACAAGCGGUGGAGCAUGUGGUUUAAUUCGAAGCAACGCGAAGAACCUUACCAGGUCUUGACAUCUUUUGAUCACCUGAGAGAUCAGGUUUCCCCUUCGGGGGCAAAAUGACAGGUGGUGCAUGGUUGUCGUCAGCUCGUGUCGUGAGAUGUUGGGUUAAGUCCCGCAACGAGCGCAACCCUUAUGACUAGUUGCCAGCAUUUAGUUGGGCACUCUAGUAAGACUGCCGGUGACAAACCGGAGGAAGGUGGGGAUGACGUCAAAUCAUCAUGCCCCUUAUGACCUGGGCUACACACGUGCUACAAUGGAUGGUACAACGAGUUGCGAGACCGCGAGGUCAAGCUAAUCUCUUAAAGCCAUUCUCAGUUCGGACUGUAGGCUGCAACUCGCCUACACGAAGUCGGAAUCGCUAGUAAUCGCGGAUCAGCACGCCGCGGUGGAUACGUUCCCGGGCCUUGUACACACCGCCCGUCACACCAUGAGAGUUUGUAACACCCGAAGCCGGUGGCGUAACCCUUUUAGGGAGCGAGCCGUCUAAGGUGGGACAAAUGAUU
rnacentral:rRNA from 1 species